rfam:Trichobilharzia regenti genome assembly, scaffold: TRE_scaffold0010093
CUACUGCUGGAGAGUCCCAAACUAGGACGAAACAGCUGUCCAGUAC